GCCAGAUUUCUGUCAGACAAGAGGCAAUCUAUGGAGACCAUACCUCGGAAGCACAGAGGCUUGCAAACACUCAGGGCGCAUACCUCAGGACCUUAGAGACAGAGUCACUCAUGUGAGUUUCACAGUUUGAAGUCAUACGAGAGCAGAACUUCCAACAAGGUAUUGCUGUAAACCUAAACCUCACGGAAGGCUAUUAUAGCAUCGGAACAGAUGGUGAAGAUUUCCAUAAAACAGAAAGGGAAACAGACUUGUCUGAAGUGAGGUCACUAUUCUCUUUCAUGAGGACUCUACUCUCAUGACCUAAUCACCUCCCAAAGGCCCUGCCUCCCAAUUC